rnacentral:rRNA from 1 species
GACGAACGCUGGCGGCGUGCCUAAUACAUGCAAGUAGAACGCUGAAGAGAGGAGCUUGCUCUUCUUGGAUGAGUUGCGAACGGGUGAGUGACGCGUAGGUAACCUGCCUUGUAGCGGGGGAUAACUAUUGGAAACGAUAGCUAAUACCGCAUAACAAUGGAUGACACAUGUCAUUUAUUUGAAAGGGGCAAUUGCUCCACUACAAGAUGGACCUGCGUUGUAUUAGCUAGUAGGUGAGGUAAUGGCUCACCUAGGCGACGAUACAUAGCCGACCUGAGAGGGUGAUCGGCCACACUGGGACUGAGACACGGCCCAGACUCCUACGGGAGGCAGCAGUAGGGAAUCCUCGGCAAUGGGGGCAACCCUGACCGAGCAACGCCGCGUGAGUGAAGAAGGUUUUCGGAUCGUAAAGCUCUGUUGUAAGUCAAGAACGGGUGUGAGAGUGGAAAGUUCACACUGUGACGGUAGCUUACCAGAAAGGGACGGCUAACUACGUG